UACGUAGGUGGCAAGCGUUGUCCGGAUUUACUGGGCGUAAAGAGCGCGCAGGCGGCCAGGUGAGUCGAAUGUGAAAGCCCCCGGCUUAACUGGGGAGGGUCAUUCGAUACUGCUCGGCUCGAAGACAGGAGAGGCAAGCGGAAUUCCCAGUGUAGCGGUGAAAUGCGUAGAUAUUGGGAAGAACACCGGUGGCGUAAGCGGCUUGCUGGGCUUUAACUGACGCUGAGGAACGAAAGCUAGGGGAGCGAAUGGG
rnacentral:rRNA from 1 species